rnacentral:misc_RNA from 1 species
AACGCACAUUGCGCCCGUCAGUAUUCUGACGGGCAUGCCUGUUCGAGCGUCGUUUCAACCCUCGGAGCCCCCUUCGGGGCACCGGUGUUGGGGAUCGACCGCCCCCCCGUGGCGGUCGGCCCUGAAACUCAGUGGCGGUCUCGCCGUAGCCUCCCUUGCGUAGUAGCACACACCUCGCACUGGACGGCCGGCGCGGCCACGCCGUGAAACCCCCCACCUCUGAAAUGUUGACCUCGGAUCAGGUAGGAUUACCCGCUGAACUUAA